ensembl:miRNA Gm23192 predicted gene, 23192
GCCAUUGGUAUCUGGAACUGUGGUUCUUGCAGGAAAACAGUGGUUGGCAGGGCCAGAACCUAUAGCACCACUUCUGCAGUCACAGUGAAAUCUGCC